GUCUGGCGCCAUGGCUUCAGUGGUCUCGGUGUCCCUACACGCAUCUUCAUCAUCACCCAUCAUACUAUGAAUAUAAGCCCCAUGGGAUGCAAAGAAGUUGUCUGAAUUCCUCGUUGUUGUACCUCCAGCACAUCCUAGGGCACUCGGCACACAGUAGGCACUCAAUAAAUACUGUCUGAAUGUGAGAGGAUGGAGUCAGAGCAUUGAGUAAAGGAACAGUGGAGAGGAUAAAGGUAUUCAGCAAGCAUAUGUGGGAAAGCUGUUUAAAAAUAUGUACUCAUAAAGAAAACUUGAAAAUAUUUCUGUCUUUGCUUUUCCCUCAUUCUUUGCCUGUGGUCUUUCCUUUUUGAGUUGAGAAAGUUGAAUGGGGCUUGUUUGUGUCUGAGUUGUUAGUUUCCAGGGGACUUAGACUGUUACAGGGCACUGAACAUCUCUCCCAAGCAGAGAGCAAGACCUUGUUACUGAAAGAAAUUU
rnacentral:lncRNA from 1 species